rnacentral:rRNA from 1 species
UGGGGAAUAUUGGACAAUGGGGGGAACCCUGAUCCAGCCAUGCCGCGUGUGUGAAGAAGGCCUUUUGGUUGUAAAGCACUUUAAGCGAGGAGGAGGCUACCGAGAUUAAUACUCUUGGAUAGUGGACGUUACUCGCAGAAUAAGCACCGGCUAACUCUGUGCCAGCAGCCGCGGUAAUACAGAGGGUGCAAGCGUUAAUCGGAUUUACUGGGCGUAAAGCGCGCGUAGGUGGCCAAUUAAGUCAAAUGUGAAAUCCCCGAGCUUAACUUGGGAAUUGCAUUCGAUACUGGUUGGCUAGAGUAUGGGAGAGGAUGGUAGAAUUCCAGGUGUAGCGGUGAAAUGCGUAGAGAUCUGGAGGAAUACCGAUGGCGAAGGCAGCCAUCUGGCCUAAUACUGACACUGAGGUGCGAAAGCAUGGGGAGCAAACAGGAUUAGAUACCCCCGUAGUCC